UACGUAGGGUGCAAGCGUUGUCCGGAAUUAUUGGGCGUAAAGAGCUCGUAGGUGGCCUGUCGCGUCGGCUGUGAAAACUCGGGGCUCAACUCCGAGCUUGCAGUCGAUACGGGCAGGCUAGAGUUCGGCAGGGGAGACUGGAAUUCCUGGUGUAGCGGUGAAAUGCGUAGAGAUCAGCAGGAACACCCGUGGCGAAGGCGGCCCCCUGGGCCGUACCUGACGCUGAGGCGCGAAGGCUAGGGGAGCGAACGGG
rnacentral:rRNA from 1 species